rnacentral:lncRNA from 1 species
CGCGGGCGACGGCCGUGGACCGGCGGCGAGACGGCCGGCAGCGCGUGGCCCGUGUGCGUGCCGCAAGCAGGCGGCGGCGUCCGGAGAGACGCGAGCGGGCGGGCCAGGCGGCGGUCCAGCGCCGCCGCACGGGUGGGGAGGUCGCGAGCCGUGAGCCAGCGAGGACGCAAGGUGGGCAGGCAGCGGCGCAGCACUUCAGUGGCCGGCAACGACGCAGCGUGUAUCAGCAACCCGGUUUUUGGGUUCCACCAGCUGGUCUUUCUUAGGAUGUGUGAACCAAGUGGCAGUGAUGAUGCAAUGGUGCAUGCCAGUGAGAUGGUUGAUGGUGAUGAGAUGAUCCACGGCAAUGAGAUGGUAGUUCAUGACAGUGUGAUGAUCGAUGGUAACGAGAUGGUUCAAGAGAACGUCAUGGUCCAUGGGAGUGGUGAGAUGGUUCAAGGAAGUGAGAUGGUCCAUAAUAAUGAAAUCAUUCAAGUUAAUGACAUGAUA